UACGUAGGUGGCAAGCGUUGUCCGGAAUUAUUUGGGCGUAAAGCGCGCGCAGGCGGUCCUUUAAGUCUGAUGUGAAAGCCCCCGGCUCAACUGGGGAGGGUCACGCGAUACUGCUCGACUCGAAGGCAGGAGAGGGAAGUGGAAUUCCCGGUGUAGUGGUGAAAUGCGUAGAUAUCGGGAGGAACACCAGUGGCGAAGGCGACUUCCUGGCCUGUUCUUGACGCUGAGGCGCGAAAGCUAGGGUAGCAAACGGG
rnacentral:rRNA from 1 species